AGUCUAUCCUCAAACAGCUUGAGUAAUUCUGUUUUUAUUAACUGAUUGGUCAAAUAGCAGUAAGGUGACAUUAACACAACUGUGGUCAACUUCACUGCUGUGACUCAGAACCACAUCAGCAGUUGUGCAUAUUUCAAAGAUAGUAUCAACUUCAUACUGCUGCCAUUGCUGCUCCAUGGGAAGGCUAUGAACAGAUGCAAGCAGCAUUCAGCAUCCUGGAAGAUUGAGAGAAAAGGAAGACACAACACUGCUUCCCCUGAGGCAAGACAGCACUGCAGCUUUCAUGUUUAUCAGACACAGGCUAAUCAAAGGUAGAUCUUCAAACAAAGGUCAAGAAGACUAUCAAAGCUGAGAUUCUAGCUAUUCAGAUCAAAGAAGCGGUCAGGGAUUUUCAAUAAGAAAAAUCUGAAAGACCUUUUUGAAAUUUGUCUGUUCAUGGCUGGUGGUGCCUGACAAUAAAGGAAGCUGAAAAUUUGUUUUGACUAUAAUUCCAUUAGCAUGAAUGUUACACAAAAAAAAUACACAAUGUAUGUACUUCACAGCACACGAGGAAAUGCCUUUGAAACUAUUCCUUGAUACUACACACCAAGCUUUAUAGAGCCUAAAUGUUAGGGGAAAAUCAUGUACUAACACAUUGGUACAUUUAAUUUCAGAGAAGUUUCAGGUCUUUUAAGUUGCUCAUAUUUGAAUAAUUUUUGAUGCAUCUUUUCCUUAAGCGUGCUUCACCACACAGACUAAAAUAGUGUGAUAUUAAGAAGAGGCUAUUGCUAAAUGUAUGCAUGAAGGUUCCUCCUGAAGUGGUUAUUUUCAUAUCACCCAUUUUUACUACCCAUUAGGCAAUCUUGCAUUCCUCUCUCGUUCCUCUGAUGCUUAAUUUAUAAAGGAAAUUUUUAGAAAAUCAUACAUAUGUGUUCCCUACUUAGAGAUAAAAAGCAAAUAUCAUUUUUAAAGUUAGAUGUUGAGUUUAAUUAAGCUGAAUUUCAUCUUUUUACCUCUUUCAGUCUAUAAUAUAUGAAAGAGCAAACAGACUCAUUGCAAUGAAUUUACUGUGGGUUAAAGGCUCCACAACUUAAAGCUCUUCAUUCAUUCCCAGAACAAGUAUAUACUGGUAGCAAUUCAGGUUUCCCUACACUACCCAAUGACUGUGCUACAAGCUACCCUAUGUGACCAGUAUUAGAUAUAAUCUAGCGUAAUUAUACAGAUUUGUAUACACGUAUAUCUAUAGAUAUAAUAUGGAAAUGUAUAAUCUAUACUAUAUGUAUAAGCUACUUUUCAUAUGCAAAGAACUUUACAAAUUAUACCAAACAAUUUCUGUUUUCCUUCCUAACAGCAGCUACAUUUAGCCCUAGAUCAGUUUCCCACAGCAGUCAAGAGGUGCUGACAGACACCGUGCAAGGAAGACAAGGCAGUAUUCAAACACCAACGGAUAGAGAAUCAUGAAAUUGGGUUUUCUGCUAAACCCUGAUCCCAGUAAGAGGACAGCUGGAAAGGAAAAGGCAGUAUACGUAAGAACUCCAGGAAGCAUGAAAGAAAAAGUAUUGAGACAAUGUUAAAAAACAUUGAGAUGUACCCUUAAGCCUGUUUUAAAAGCACAUUUUGUAGCAGCUUCCACUACACAGGAGAUAUCUUUACAGAGAUGGUUUGAAAUCAGUGCUGCCCAUCAUUGAACUCAUUAGAGAGUCUACUGGAUAAAGAAGGACAAACUUGUCACUAUGCUUCAUACAACUCCAUCAGGAAAGCUAAAAAAGAGCAAGAUAAAAGAUAGCUGAGAGACAACUGUUUUGCUGAGGCUCAAACCGCAUCCUCAAGAACUGACGACUCUUCCUUCCAAGUAUCUUUCUCCACACACUACACAUGCUGACCAAGUAACUGCCACCAAUUACACCUAUGUAAUAAGUGCAGCUUGAAGAUGGGUCCCCACAAUAUUGUAAAUGCCAUUAGAAAUCACAGUUCAAAAGACAAUACUCCAUUUUGGUUUACUACAUUCCAGCAAAAACUUUUCACACUGACAUAUGUGCUACUAAUACACCACAAAAAUUGUUUACGCUGAUUAUUAAAUACCGUCACACUGUAUUUUGGGGUUCUUUUAAUGUUAGUACAUACCAACUGUGCACACUUGGGACUAUCCACCUUCAAAAUAACAGUAAGUCUUCACACAGCACAUGCAAACACAGCUGAAGAACUCUCAGAUAGGAAACCACAGUUCACAGCACUUUUUUCCUCUAUCAUCACAUUUGACCUAACAUAUAAAUAUAAGCAUACCAUAACAUAAAGGCUCUGAGCUCUAGAUAGCUUUCAACACCAGGUGAUGGCCGUUAAUAAACACCACAGAUACAACGUUUUCAAGCAACAAUCAAGAAAAGAACUGUCCAAAGGAACAUUCCAUGUGUUUCCAUUCCAAAGCACUCAUGAUUUCAAAAGACACAGUUAAAGCUAUCACCUCUUUCAAUAUGUCUAAGCCAGAUAAAUAAUCAGUCUCCUUGUGGUUGCUUCUGCCAGGGAAGGUAAGAAGUUUGAGCAUCAAUACCAUAUAUUUCUAAGAGACUUCAGGAGAAAAGCCACUAACAAAGGUUAUUAACCUAAAGUUUCUCUGUUUAUGACUUUGAGGAGCACUUGAAGAACUGAAAUGGCACAGAGAAACAUUAAGUACACAAGUAGUUCCUUACUGUCCCAGAAGUCAGAUCAAUGGAAACCCCCUCAAUAAACAAAAAACUGUAUUGGAUAAAUACAUUUAACUUGCAGUUGCCACUGAAUUGCAGCCAUUAUUUACAAACUUCUCAGCAAGAAACAAUAAUCUUCAUUAAAUCCCAGGAUGCACCUUUACUGUCUAGCACACUGUGAGCAUAUUGCAACAGUUCACAUCAGUGUCAUGAGAAAAUACAUUUAAAUAAAUGCUGAAAAACUGUGAAAAAGUGUUUCCGUGUUUAUAUUAGCUAUAUAAACAUUAAGAGGAAAGCUGUUCAAUAUGCACUUUUGAGAUAGCACUCUCAAAUGAACAAGAUACAAUUCUGUGUACUAUUUUUCACAUUUAUUUUCAAAAAUAACCACAUAAUUGACACCUUGGUUAACAUUUCUGAUGGGCCACUAAACCACAUCUCCAUCUACUAGCUCAUAUUCUUAUAUAACUAAUUUUUUUAUGUUUUUAAAUCCAUAAAAACAGAAAGCUGCAAGAGCGAGCUGGAAAUUAGGACCAUGCGUGGCAAUCAGUUAGCUGAGGGGAACGUGCUCAAGCUUGCACAGACACAACAAUUAACAUGAUGAGUCAUGCUGAGAGAGCAUAGGGGAGUGGGGGACGGAUGGCGUCAAGGAUGGCGCCAAAGAAAGCAAACUGGUGACCCCGACAUGAUCCGUUUAAGGAUCUGACGUGAUGGGUUUAAGAACCGCCAGGCUGAGCGGCAGGCUGCGAGUCCCACAGAACGCUGAAUGAGCUGCUAAAAGGAAGCAGGAAUUGAAAAAAAAAAAGGUCCCUCUGGAAUUGAGAGGUGAGCUGUGGGAAACUUGGGCAACAGGUGUCUUCCCCUAUAAGAGACGCAUAUGGACUCAUGAAGGGUCUUCUAGUCAGAUCCGAGAGUCCGUGCCUCAAUCUCCUCAAAUGGUGACUCCUAUGGUAGUGUUCUGAAGCCUUGCAAGAAUAAGGACGGAAAUGGUCGAUAAAAAAGACAGCUCGUGGAAGAGGGCUGCGUUCCGGAGGAGACGGCUUGGCUGAACAAUCAUCUUGCUGGCUGGACCAGGCAGACAACCUGCAUCGAGACAGGUGAGCAGCCAAGAAACUUUAGAGACUUUGAAAGAAAUGAAAGUGUGUUCAUACAGCAGCCAAUUGUAUGAUGCUGCCGCGGAGGGGAGCUCCGUGUCGGGAAUGCAUGUAGCACCUUGGUGGCAAAUUCUGACUACUCUUUGCCAAGUGUGGACCAAUUCUACUAACGGUGCUAAACCAGAGGAAGCUGUAAAUUCCACCGACAGCGCAACUCUUCUCAAAACACUGUCAAUGAUGGCAAUUCUGUCCACACCUCCUCUGCCCCCAAAGCUUCUGUCACUGAUUGCAGCGACCCUCACAACACAGGACCAAACACGGGAACAGGACAACUCGGACAAGGAUUCCAUUGACACUGAUAAACCUUUUGAUCCAGGUCCUAUAGAUCUGGAAAAGAAGCUAGACCUUCCCCCCCACUCACCCACCCACCCCACCCCCCCUCUCCCGAUGCAUUGAUUGUAUUUUUGGGGAGGGUGAAAGGGGGUCUGAGGGAUUGGUGGCAGGAAUGCAAGUGGGAAACACUUAAGUGAGGGGUUUGGGGAGUCGCUAUGAUAAACAUGGUUAUCUAGUGUUUAAUAGGUGUCUGCAUGCUUGUAGAGAUAUAUAGCUAUGUAACUACAUGAAUGGUUUUUGCCCUGAGCCUGGUGGUGCAUACAGCUGUGGUUUGUGUCCGGGCUCAGAGAUGUAAAUAUGGGCUUCUCUGCUAUGGUAAAGUGUCUCUGGUUGCAUAAAAAAAGAGGGAAUGAAGGGAAUGACCCCAGAAGUAUGUUCAGAGAAAGGACACUAUGUUUCAAACUUUUUGACUGAACCAGUUCUUGUUUGGUGUGCCCUUCCACCUAUGUAUAAUGUUAAUCCAAAAGAAGUUGAUAUUGUUUACACUUUGAAUGUCGAUAAUUGUCUUUCUGUAGAUUGGUUCUUCUCUUAUCCGGAAUAACAGCAGGGAAAGCAUUAAAGAGUUAAAUCACCUUGUUUGGUAGGCAAUUAAGAAUGUGGGUCAAAAUUGCCACUGCUUUUUGUUGGUGGUUCAAGGACAUGGCUAUGAGGAUUUUGAUGGUAUGUGCUGCGUGGGUUUUAGGCACCCCAUUGCAGCAACAUGUUAUCAGAAUCUGAGAAAAUGUCAGCCUUUUUGGCAUCCAUUCACUCAAUUGGCAGUAUUGUUUGUUUGCUAUUACCUUGGUUGCUGUCAUGUUUGCAAGGGCCCUGCAGAACAUGGCAAACCUGGUACUAGCUGUUCAAAAAACAAAAAGGGGAAAUUGUAAAAUUGUACGGAACAAAGACGGUGGGUUAUUUUGACAUUGAUAAUAUGUCUUAGUUGCUUUUUUUAUUUGUUCUAUUACUUAUACCUUGUUUUUUACAAUGCUUAUGAAAACUAAUGACUCGUUCGGUUUCAUAGGUUCUUUUUGUGCAACAGGAAGGGGGAGAUGCAGGAGUGGGCUGGAAAUUAGGACCAUGCGUGGCAAUCAGUUAGCUGAGGGGAACGUGCUCAAGCUUGCACAGACACAACAAUUAACAUGAUGAGUCAUGCUGAGAGAGCAUAGGGGAGUGGGGGACGGAUGGCGUCAAGGAUGGCGCCAAAGAAAGGUCACACCUUGCUGUUAAUUGAUGGUAGUUAACCACCAAUUGGGGACUGCCUAGGAUGCAAUGCUUAGCUUCAAGAACCAAUCUGUUUAAAACGUGAAGCUUCCAAAAGUAUAUAUAAACUCGUGUUUCUGUACAAUAAAUCAACAUUUGCUUGCA